rnacentral:rRNA from 1 species
UGGGGAAUAUUGGACAAUGGGCGAAAGCCUGAUCCAGCCAUGCCGCGUGUGUGAAGAAGGUCUUCGGAUUGUAAAGCACUUUAAGUUGGGAGGAAGGGCAGUAAGCGAAUACCUUGCUGUUUUGACGUUACCGACAGAAAAAGCACCGGCUAACUCUGUGCCAGCAGCCGCGGUAAUACAGUGGGUGCAAGCGUUAAUCGGAAUUACUGGGCGUAAAGCGCGCGUAGGUGGUUCGUUAAGUUGAAUGUGAAAUCCCCGGGCUCAACCUGGGAAAUGCAUCCAAAACUGGCGAGCUAGAGUAGGGCAGAGGGUGGUGGAAUUUCCUGGGUAGCGGUGAAAUGCGUAGAUAUAGGAAGGAACACCAGUGGCGAAGGCGACCACCUGGGCUCAUAAUGACACUGGGGUGCGAAAGGGUGGGGAGCAAAAAGG